GUCUGGAGGCAGAAAUCAGCUUGGCCGCCACCUCCAACCAAUCGGACUGGCUCUUCUGUCAUUCGGGUCACCUCCGCUGAGAUGCCUUCCCUGACCACCCAAGUUGAAGGAACUGCUAACCUUUUCUCUUGGACUUUGUUUUUUAUUUCCUUCACAGUAUUUCUCCCCUCUAAAAUUAUCUUGUCUGCUUCUACCUAUAUUGCCUUCCCUCUUGAAACCUAAGUUCCAUAAACUGAGGCACAAAUUCUGCCUUGUUCAUCUCUGUUCUCAGCACUCUGAACAGAACCUGGCAUGAAUGAGGUGCUCAAUAAAAGUUACUUGGAUGAAUCGGCAG
rnacentral:lncRNA from 1 species